rnacentral:rRNA from 1 species
GAUCUUGGCUCAGGAUGAACGCUAGCUACAGGCUUAACACAUGCAAGUCGAGGGGCAGCAUGGUCUUAGCUUUCUAAGGCCGAUGGCGACCGGCGCACGGGUGAGUAACGCGUAUCCAACCUGCCUUACACUCUUGGACAGCCUUCUGAAAGGGAGAUUAAUACAAGAUGUUAUCAUGAGUAAGCAUUUUCGCAUGAUUAAAGGUUUACCGGUGUAAGAUGGGGAUGCGUUCCA